GGGCCCGCACAAGCGGUGGAUUAUGUGGUUUAAUUCGAAGCAACGCGCAGAACCUUACCUAGGCUUGAAAUCCUUCGAAUCCCGAGUAAUGUUGGGAGUGCCCGCAAGGGAAUGAAGUGACAGGUGCUGCAUGGCUGUCGUCAGCUCGUGUUGUGAAAUGUUGGGUUAAGUCUCGCAACGAGCGCAACCCCUAUCUUUAGUUGCCAGCAUUAAGUUGGGCACUCUAGAGAGACUGCCCGGGUUAACCGGGAGGAAGGUGGGGAUGACGUCAAGUCCUCAUGGCCCUUAUGCCUAGGGCUACACACGUAAUACAAUGGUGCAAACAAAGGGAAGCGAGCAUGCGAGUGUUAGCAAAUCUCAAAAAUUGCAUCUCAGUCCGGAUUGGAGUCUGCAACUCGACUCCAUGAAGUUGGAAUCGCUAGUAAUCG
rnacentral:rRNA from 1 species